UUUAUGGAGAGUUUGAUCCUGGCUCAGGAUGAACGCUGGCGGCGUGCCUAAUACAUGCAAGUCGAGCGAACGGACGAGAAGCUUGCUUCUCUGAUGUUAGCGGCGGACGGGUGAGUAACACGUGGAUAACCUACCUAUAAGACUGGGAUAACUUCGGGAAACCGGAGCUAAUACCGGAUAAUAUUUUGAACCGCAUGGUUCAAAAGUGAAAGACGGUCUUGCUGUCACUUAUAGAUGGAUCCGCGCUGCAUUAGCUAGUUGGUAAGGUAACGGCUUACCAAGGCAACGAUGCAUAGCCGACCUGAGAGGGUGAUCGGCCACACUGGAACUGAGACACGGUCCAGACUCCUACGGGAGGCAGCAGUAGGGAAUCUUCCGCAAUGGGCGAAAGCCUGACGGAGCAACGCCGCGUGAGUGAUGAAGGUCUUCGGAUCGUAAAACUCUGUUAUUAGGGAAGAACAUAUGUGUAAGUAACUGUGCACAUCUUGACGGUACCUAAUCAGAAAGCCACGGCUAACUACGUGCCAGCAAACUGGUAAUACGUAGGUGGCAAGCGUUAUCCGGAAUUAUUGGGCGUAAAGCGCGCGUAGGCGGUUUUUUAAGUCUGAUGUGAAAGCCCACGGCUCAACCGUGGAGGGUCAUUGGAAACUGGAAAACUUGAGUGCAGAAGAGGAAAGUGGAAUUCCAUGUGUAGCGGUGAAAUGCGCAGAGAUAUGGAGGAACACCAGUGGCGAAGGCGACUUUCUGGUCUGUAACUGACGCUGAUGUGCGAAAGCGUGGGGAUCAAACAGGAUUAGAUACCCUGGUAGUCCACGCCGUAAACGAUGAGUGCUAAGUGUUAGGGGGUUUCCGCCCCUUAGUGCUGCAGCUAACGCAUUAAGCACUCCGCCUGGGGAGUACGACCGCAAGGUUGAAACUCAAAGGAAUUGACGGGGACCCGCACAAGCGGUGGAGCAUGUGGUUUAAUUCGAAGCAACGCGAAGAACCUUACCAAAUCUUGACAUCCUUUGACAACUCUAGAGAUAGAGCCUUCCCCUUCGGGGGACAAAGUGACAGGUGGUGCAUGGUUGUCGUCAGCUCGUGUCGUGAGAUGUUGGGUUAAGUCCCGCAACGAGCGCAACCCUUAAGCUUAGUUGCCAUCAUUAAGUUGGGCACUCUAAGUUGACUGCCGGUGACAAACCGGAGGAAGGUGGGGAUGACGUCAAAUCAUCAUGCCCCUUAUGAUUUGGGCUACACACGUGCUACAAUGGACAAUACAAAGGGCAGCGAAACCGCGAGGUCAAGCAAAUCCCAUAAAGUUGUUCUCAGUUCGGAUUGUAGUCUGCAACUCGACUACAUGAAGCUGGAAUCGCUAGUAAUCGUAGAUCAGCAUGCUACGGUGAAUACGUUCCCGGGUCUUGUACACACCGCCCGUCACACCACGAGAGUUUGUAACACCCGAAGCCGGUGGAGUAACCUUUUAGGAGCUAGCCGUCGAAGGUGGGACAAAUGAUUGGGGUGAAGUCGUAACAAGGUAGCCGUAUCGGAAGGUGCGGCUGGAUCACCUCCUUU
rnacentral:rRNA from 1 species